rnacentral:rRNA from 1 species
GGAAUAUUGGGCAAUGGAGGGAACUCUGACCCAGCGACGCCGCGUGCGGGAUGAAGGCCUUCGGGUUGUAAACCGCUUUCAGCAAGGAAGAAGCGAAAGUGACGGUACUUGCAGAAGAAGCACCGGCUAACUAUGUGCCAGCAGCCGCGGUAAUACAUAGGGUGCAAGCGUUGUCCGGAAUUAUUGGGCGUAAAGAGCUCGUAGGUGGUUCGUCACGUCGGAUGUGAAAAUCUGGGGCUUAACCCCAGACCUGCAUUCGAUACGGGCGAGCUAUAGUGUGGUAGGGGAGACUGGAAUUCCUGGUGUAGCGGUGGAAUGCGCAGAUAUCAGGAGGAACACCAAUGGCGAAGGCAGGUCUCUGGGCCAUUACUGACACUGAGGAGCGAAAGCGUGGGGAGCGAACAGGAUUAGAUACCCUGGUAGUCCACGCCGUAAACGGUGGGCACUAGUUGUGGGAACCUUCCACGGUUUCUGCGACGCAGCUAACGCAUUAAGUGCCCCGCCUGGGGAGUACGAUCGCAAGAUUAAAACUCAAAGGAAUUGACGG